AGCACGUACCACGUGCGCGCUGUCUGGGCCUGCGUAAAGUCGACGCUCCCGGCGUCCGCAGCCAGCCCUCAUCUACGCGCACUCCCCUGGAUUGCCCAGCUGGGUGUCAAUAAAAUUGCGCGCGCGCGCGCGCGCGAGAACCCACGCACGCGCGGAGGCUCCCCAGGGCGUCUCCACAGCCGCCGCACCUGCCCAGGGUGCGGUACGUCAGCCGGAGUUGCGGGGGAGCGCCCACGGGGUUAGGGAGCGGCGCUUGCAAACGGCUGGCGGCGGCGGCAGCUCAGACAUUCAUGACAGGCUGGAGAGAAGCAGCUGGCAUCUGAGCAGUGGGGUGCAGAGGCGUGGGAAGAGGAGCUGCUCUGGGACUGAGCAUAUUUUGCAAGCCUGUAUUAAAUGUUGAAACUCCGCACCCUUGGAUACAAUCACAUGUGAAGGACUCCAUGAAAAGAGGUGAGGAAGGUUAGACCCAAGCUCAUCUUGCAGGAUAGUGGCAGAUCUG